rnacentral:rRNA from 1 species
CCUACGGGCGGCACCAGUGGGGAAUAUUGGACAAUGGGGGCAACCCUGAUCCAGCAAUGCCGCGUGUAUGAAGAAGGUCUUCGGAUUGUAAAGUACUUUCGACAGGGACGAUGAUGACGGUACCUGUAGAAGAAGCCCCGGCUAACUUCGUGCCAGCAGCCGCGGUAAUACGAAGGGGGCUAGCGUUGCUCGGAAUGACUGGGCGUAAAGGGCGCGUAGGCGGUUUAUGCAGUCAGAUGUGAAAUCCCCGGGCUUAACCUGGGAACUGCAUUUGAGACGCAUAGACUAGAGGUCGAGAGAGGGUUGUGGAAUUCCCAGUGUAGAGGUGAAAUUCGUAGAUAUUGGGAAGAACACCGGUGGCGAAGGCGGCAACCUGGCUCGAUACUGACGCUGAGGCGCGAAAGCGUGGGGAGCAAACAGGAUUAGAUACCCCGGUAGUC